GAUGAACGCUGGCGGCGUGCCUAAUACAUGCAAGUCGAGCGAACAGACGAGGAGCUUGCUCCUCUGACGUUAGCGGCGGACGGGUGAGUAACACGUGGAUAACCUACCUAUAAGACUGGGAUAACUUCGGGAAACCGGAGCUAAUACCGGAUAAUAUAUUGAACCGCAUGGUUCAAUAGUGAAAGACGGUUUUGCUGUCACUUAUAGAUGGAUCCGCGCCGCAUUAGCUAGUUGGUAAGGUAACGGCUUACCAAGGCAACGAUGCGUAGCCGACCUGAGAGGCUGAUCGGCCACACGGGAACUGAGACACGGUCCAGACGCCUACGGGAGGCAGCAGUAGGGAAUCUUCCGCAAUGGGCGAAAGCUUGACGGAGCAACGCCGCGUGAGUGAUGAAGGUCUUCGGAUCGUAAAACUCUGUUAUGAGGGAAGAACAAAUGUGUAAGUAACUAUGCACGUCUUGACGGUACCUAAUCAGAAAGCCACGGCUAACUACGUG
rnacentral:rRNA from 1 species